rnacentral:rRNA from 1 species
CAAUAGCGUAUAUUAAAGUUGUUGCGGUUAAAAGCUCGUAGUUGGAUUUCUGUCCGGGGUGACCGGUCCACCCUCUGGGUGAGCAUCUGGUCCACUUUGGGCAUCCUCCUGGGGAACGUAUCUGCGAUUGAUUUCGUGGUGCGGAAUCUAGGAAUUUUACUUUGAGGAAAUUAGAGUGUUCACUGCAGGCGUACGCCUUGAAUACAUUAGCAUGGAAUAAUAAUAUAGGACCUUGGUUCUAUUUUUUCGGUUUCUAGAGCUGAGGUAAUGAUUAAUAGGGAUAGUUGGGGGCGUUUAUAUUCCGUUGUCAGAGGUGAAAUUCUUGGAUUUACGGAAGAUAAACUACUGCGAAAGCAUUCGCCAAGGAUGUUUUCAUUAAUCAAGAACGAAAGUUAGGGGAUCGAAGAUGAUCAGAUACCAU